rnacentral:tRNA from 1 species
UCCUCGAUAGCUCAACGGUAGAGCGCCCGCCUGUUAAGCGGUAGGUUCUAGGUUCGAAUCCUAGUCGAGGAG